UUUCCUGCCACCSARUACAUUAGCAUGGGAUAAUGGAAUAGGACCCUGACCUCAAUUUUCAGUUGGUUUUGUUUACAGCGAGGUUAUAUCASGGUAAUGAUUAAUAGGGAUAGUUGGGGGCAUUAAUAUUUAAUUGUCAGAGGUGAAAUUCUUGGAUUUAUGAAAGAUUAACUUCUGCGAAAGCGUUUGCCAAGGAUGUUUUCAUUAAUCAAGAACGAAAGUUAGGGGAUCGAAGACGAUCAGAUACCGUCGUAGUCUUAACCAUAAACGAUGCCGACCAGCGAUUAGGAGACGUUGAAUACAAAACACCGCUGUUAAUCCUUUCGGGGGUUAAUAGUUGGUGAAUGACUCCCCUAGCAGCUUGUGAGAA
rnacentral:rRNA from 1 species